GGGGCUGUAGCACAAUUGGGAGUGCGUUUCCCUUGCAAGGAAAAGGUUGAGAGUUCGAAUCUCUCCAGCUCCACCA
rnacentral:tRNA from 1 species